GACGAACGCUGGCGGCGUGCUUAACACAUGCAAGUCGAACGGAAAGGCCCUGCUUUUGUGGGGUGCUCGAGUGGCGAACGGGUGAGUAACACGUGAGUAACCUGCCCUUGACUUUGGGAUAACUUCAGGAAACUGGGGCUAAUACCGGAUAGGAGCUCCUGCUGCAUGGUGGGGGUUGGAAAGUUUCGGCGGUUGGGGAUGGACUCGCAGCUUAUCAGCUUGUUGGUGGGGUAGUGGCUUACCAAGGCUUUGACGGGUAGCCGGCCUGAGAGGGUGACCGGCCACAUUGGGACUGAGAUACGGCCCAGACUCCUACGGGAGGCAGCAGUGGGGAAUAUUGCACAAUGGGCGGAAGCCUGAUGCAGCAACGCCGCGUGCGGGAUGACGGCCUUCGGGUUGUAAACCGCUUUCGCCUGUGACGAAGCGUGAGUGACGGUAAUGGGUAAAGAAGCACCGGCUAACCACGUG
rnacentral:rRNA from 1 species